rnacentral:pre_miRNA from 1 species
AAUAUACUCCCUCCGUCCCAAAAUUCUUGUCUUAGAUUUGUCUAAAUACGGAUGUAUCUAGUUACGUUUUAGUGUUAGAUACAUCCGUAUCUAGACAAAUUUAAGACAAGAAUUUUGGGACGAAGGGAGUAGAAA